rnacentral:lncRNA from 1 species
GAAGAACUCUAUUAAAUAAUUGGUAUCCCAGUUAUACCACAAUUCAAACUCCUAUCUCGCGUAGGACUCAUUGGUAUAAGAUUGCAAAAUUAAGCUGUCCUAUAACAAGUGUACUACGGAAUCCUAGUAUGAACACACCACCUACCUCUAUAAAUACAAAGCCCUUGAUCAUUAUUCAGGUACGUUUUAGAUAAUUUUCAGUUCAUAGGCUUACGCACAAAUUCUCUCUCUG